rnacentral:rRNA from 1 species
CGGUCACGUUCGUUGCUUUCAGAAUCUAAAUGCAAGUGCUAAGCAAAACAGAGACAACGCACUCGAUACCAAGAAAGGUAUGAGGGGUCAAAGUGCCGCAACAUGCGUUUAUAAUAGAUUCUUAAUGAAACGCAAUUAAGCAGACAGAUCACUCCACGAACUAAGAACGGCCAUGCACCACCUAUCACAUAAUCAUGAAAGGACUAGCAUAUUUAACAUGUUGACAUACAAUGAUGUACAACAAUAAUACCUGUCAAUCCUCAGUGUGUCCGGACCCGGUAAGAUUUCCCGCGUUGGGUCAAAUUAAGCCACAUGCUCCAC